rnacentral:lncRNA from 1 species
GGGAGCUCGGUUUCAGCAAACGCUGCAGCAGAGGAAAAUCAGAUCCACCUGCCCGCGGGGUGCGGGGGAGCUCGGUUUCAGCAAAUGCUGCAGCAGAGGAAAAUCAGAUCCACCUGCCCGCGGGGUGCGGGGGAGCUCGGUUUCAGCAAACGCUGCAGCAGAGGAAAAUCAGAUCCACCUGCCCGCGGGGUGCGGGGGAGCUCGGUUUCAGCAAACGCUGCAGCGGAGGAAAAUCAGAUCCACCUGCCCGCGGGGUGCGGGGGAGCUCUGUUUUAUGCCUUGAAAUGCAUCUGCGGCAUCCCAUUGUAAAACUGCCCGUGAACGCGGGCUCGCUCGCGUCAGGCGCUCGCUCCUUUAAACAGGAAGGUGCUCUAAGACAUCGCUGAGAGAAUUAAAAGUAACUACAUAGCAGGAACAGCACGAUCUCGUUUGAAGAUUUUAUUUAGAAACGCCAAAAAAGGAGAGUGGCCAAGAUGCCCGGCUGCUCACCAGCCCACAGGAUGGCUGUAUUCCCAGCAUUCCUUGCAGCGAGUGACUUGUGACCGGCCCAGCAUUCCUUGCAGUGAAUGACAUGUGACUAGGCUCCAGCCAAUGGGGUGCAAGCAGGCCGUAAUACCAGCUGCGUGGUCCCCCAGGCCGGUCCCCUCUCUGAGGGUACUAUCUGUGCCCAGGCACCUCGACACCUCCAUCCCGCCUGGCACCGCCUCCAGCAGCCUGAGCCCCAGAACCUCAGGGACAGCAGAGUCUUGGACCUUGCCUCCGUCCCCUCUGCCAGCCAGGACCACCCAUGCUUAGGGAGUGGAAAUAGACUUGCUGUGCCCAGCCAUGCUCAGAGAGGACGUCAAAACACACACGGACAAAUCAAGGUAGGUAAAAGUGAGGCUGCCCUGGUAGGAUUAAAGUGGGGGCUUCCACUUCCUGCUUCCUGGGGAGCACAGAGGGGGCUCCAAGGAACAGGAGACACUGAUUCACAACCACCCCAAAACCAGGGGAGCUGGUUUCAGUAUCCUGCAGAAACGCUAGGAAUGGGGGAUAAAUACAAAUUGAGGGCCUGGAGACACGAGACCCAAAAUAAGACCCGUCAGCAAGAGCAGAGGGACAGGGGGCCGAGUCUGUGUGGAAGUCACCUUCACAGCAGGCAAGGAGGGCACGGGGCCGAGUCUGUGCGGAAGUCACCUUCACAGCAGGCAAGGAGGGCACUCUCUCUGCUUGGGGAAAACGUCUCACUCUUCACUGCCUGGGGUUUCCCUGGGGGCUGAGAUGGAGCAAGGAACUGAGGCGGCCGGAAGUGAGGUGAACCGGGGACCAGGAGCAGGACGAGGAAAGGCACCUGGCUUCACUCCUGGGUGGCUGGAGUGAGCAGCGGUUGGGAGAGGGAAGCUGGUGGCCCAGAGGCCAAGGCUCUGCAGUUCCCUCUUGGCAGGUGGGCACCAGCUGGGGCCCUUGGAACCCUCUUUGCAGCCCUGUGACAUCCCUGUCACGGAGACCGGCAGGACCAGCAAAGGCAGCCCUGGCUGGUUUUACCUGGGGAGGUGUUGCAAGUUCUCUGUACCCCCUCCUAGAAUGACAAGUAGUGAAACCUUGCAACAUUCAUAAUUUUAUGUGAAAAAGCCUUUUUGUCUAGAAAUUAUGUCUUGUUUUGUUUUUUUGUUUGCUUAUUUCCAUUAAAAAAUAGGAGGAAAUCAGCCGAGAGGGAUACGUGCCAGCUCUGUUGACCCCAGUAUUUGCCAGGAGAGCCCGGAGGCCCUUAGACCCUCCUCCUUUGGGAGAGUCACCGCCCAGUGGGCAUGCAGUCACAGGGAGCAGGGAGCCCAGCCAUGCUCCCCUGAAGACCCUGAGGACCAGGCCCCCCAAGGGCACCCCUGGGGUAGGUGGAAGGAGCAGAGGUGCUAAGAGCAGGAUGUGCUGACGCCACCGCCUUCUGCAGGGAAUCAGGGGCCGAGGCCCUUUGGUUGGAAGCUGCACUUGGUAGCAGCCCAGCCCUAAAAUAGCAGCAAGUUGAGUCGGGAGCCAUGUCUCCCCUUCCCCUGAAGGUCUCCUGCACGCGAUCGCCCCUGCUCCCCGGCCCCGCCCUUGGUGGGGUCACCGAAUUCUGAACUUGGGGAGAACUGUGGGGCCAGGCUUGGGGUCUGGGUCUUCGUGCAGCAGAACCAAGCCGGGGGCAGAGCCAGGGGUUGGAGUCAGGAUGACUUUGAGGACCUGAACUUGGAGCGGUCACAGGAGUCUUGAGGGGAGCUGGGAUCUUCCCGGGCAUGGAUGGGGCUCCUGUCCAGUCUCAGGAAACCUACUGCAGCCAGGACAAGUGUGGCAGGCAGACGGAAGUGUCCUCCCAGAGGUCAGACCAUCAGAGACCAGGUAGAGACCUGGCCAGCUCCAAAUGUGAUCCCGUCCCAGAGACAGCACAGAGUGAGGGCAGGUGUGUGUUCGAGGAGGGGACAGGCUGGUGAGGCUGGCCAAGUCACCAGAAUGGCUUUCUUCCAACCUUCGUUCUGCAAUGAGCAUAUCCGAGGAAGAUUCAGGUCCACAGUGUCCCAGCCAGUCCCCCUCCCAGGUAUUAGGCCAGCGUGAAGCUGGCUACCGGCAUCACCAACAUCAACCAUUCGCAUCUGCCGGAGUUAAUGGGUGUGUGAUGUUUGGAUGGCUGGAUUCGGCGACUUUUCCCACAUCACCUGCAAGGCCGCAGUCGGCCUGGGAGCUGGCUCCUGACCCCGUCCCCUCUGCACAGCAAGUCCCAGGCGGGUUUCAUCCACCCUCGCUAGAUGGUGACGGAUCAAACGUCAGGAUCUGGUUACACAGCCAGUUACCAUCGUCGCAGCCACGCAUCAGGCCCAGGCUAGAUGCCUGCCAAUGAGAGCAGAGGGGCAAAGGCACCAAGAAACACAGGGAGACAGAUGAAAAUGCAGGAGGGAAGAGAAAAAGCAAGAAGGAAAGAGAGGAGGUUGCUCUUCUUGGGAUGCAGAUCUCAAUUCUAAGGAAUUUCAAAUAUCAAAUUAACACUGCAUUUCUUUAUUUGGGAAAAUUACUAACAAUGGCCUUGCUCUCAAAUAAAUUUACACUGAAAUGGCAUGUCUAUGCAAGAACUGAGGGCUGGCCAGGGAUUCGUGGGACAGGGAAAAGCCAGCUGGCGUCCACUGCAGAAUCUAUUGCUUCUUUGUUGGUGAAAAAAGCCGCACAUUUGCUCACAGAAGUCGUCUGUCGGUGUUGUUGCUGUUGGGAGGUGUAAGAGCAGAGGAGAAACACAGGUGGGGUGUUUUCGAAAGACAUCAUCAAUGCCCUCAGCACACCACAGGAAAUGACGAAUGUCCUUGCCCUUGAACUUUGUCUCAAGCGCCGGAGCCUUCUGGGGACAUUCUUGAGCAGCACGUCACUUUUGCUUCCCUGACAGGCAGAGGCUGUCUCUGGGGGAAGUUCUCUGGGAGGCGGGGCAGCCUGUGGGGUCUAUUCGGGGGUGCAAGUGUGAGUGUGUGAAGAGAUUUAUGAUCAGACAUUGGCUCCCCCCCAGGGGCAGAGAGUGCAGAGCUGGGAGGGGCACUUCUGCCAUGGAAGCCUCUCUUUUUCCCCGAGGGGGCAGGAGGCAGAAGUGAGGAGAGCUGGAGAGUGGGAGAAGAGUCCCCUGCAGACACGCACCGCCCAUGGCCAGCUGUGUAGACAGCUCUGUACUGGAGCGGAGGCUCUCACCACUGGUCUUUGGUGGGGACAGGGUCUGCCAAAUGCUACCCAAAGGGCCUCUGGAGAAACCCUGUGAGGUGAUCAUGUUCUGAGAACCCCAGAACGUCACAGAAGCCUCUGCUCCUCCCGACCUCCCGCCGGGCUGCCCCUGAAGGCGGAGCCGCUCCACCGAGUGCCCGAGCGCCUCCUCUUUCCCGUGUCUUCUCGGGGAGGGUGUGACUCCGGCACAAGCCGGAGGAGUCCUGGUGGAACUGACCGGAUUUGGUUUUUGAAAAUGUGUAGGUGGAGAAUCCAAUGCGCCCCCUCGGGUUUUCAAAACGUGGGCAUCUUGAGUGCGGGAAAGGAAGUGCCUGCCGCUCCCCAGGGCACCCGGUGGCAUCUGCAGAGGGGGGGCAGCCGCAGCAGGCCUGCUGUGGUGACAGCAAAUAGCCAGGCGGCCAGGGAGGCUCCUGCGGUGACAGCCCUGGGUCACAGGGUCAGAAGCAGCCCACUGGGGCCGGGAUGUCUUGCGUCAGUUUGGGAACAUUUUCAGCCAUUACCACUUUAAAUACUGAUUUUGCCUAUUCUUUCUCUUCUUCCCAGAACUCCAGUUACUCACGUGUGGUGUCUUCUCAUUGUGUCUGCUGUCUCUUCCCAUCUCACUGGGGCAGUAGGGCUGCCAUAAGCCAGCACCACAGACCAGCGGCUUCACAACCCUGGCGGCUGCAAGUUCAAGAUCAACACAGGGACAGGGUUAGUCUAGUGAGGCCUCUCUUCCUGGCUUGUGGAGGGCUGCCUGCUCCCUGUGUGCACAAGGCCUUUUCUCUGUGCACACGCAUGUGCACACACACGAGCACACGCACACGCACGCACACACACACGUGCACACACACGCACACAUGCACAUACACGCACACAAUCUGGUGUCUCUUCCUCUUCUCAUAAGGACUCCAGUCCUAUCGGAUCAGGGCCCCACCCUGCUGGCUGCACUUCACCUUAAUUACCUCCCUAAUGUCUUCUCUCCAGACAGACUCACCUUGGUGGGUGGGGCUUUGUGAGGGUUUGAAUGUCCGUGUUCCCCGAAAUUCAUCUGUUGAAAUCCUCAUCCCCAAGGCAAUGGUGUUAGGAGAUGGGGCCUGUGGUAGGGAUGGGGUCCUGAAGGUGGACUGCUGAUCAUGGGAUCGGUGUCCUCAUAAAAGAGGCCCCAGAGCGCCCCUCCCCCAUCCCCCAUGUGAGGACGCAGUGACAUACCAGGGAAGCCGGUCCUUGUCCUCACCACACACGGAAUCUGCCGGUACCUUGAUCUGAGACUCCCCAGCCUUCAAAGCUGUGAGAAAUGCAUUGUUGUUUCUGAGCCCCCAGUCUAUGGCAUUUUGUUAUGGCAGCCAGAACUAAGCCAGGCUUCCGCAUGUGCAUUCUGGGAGGACGCGGUUCAGUCCCUCACACUUGCUCUCUCUAUUUUCCUCCUUAUGCUUCUGUCCUUCAUUCUGAGAAUCUUCUUCUGACCUACUUUCUAGUUAUUCAUUAUUGUUCAGUGAUAUCUAAACUAUUUUUAAACCCACUUACUGAGUUCUGAAACAUCGCUUGUAUUUCUCCCAGGCAAUCAUUUUUGUAUUGCAUUUACAAAUAGGCAUGGAAAUAGAGACUGCAAUGAGAAAAUAGAGAACGCAAUGAGAAAAGUUGGAGUUCUAGAAAGAAAGUGGAGGGAGAAUAGGAAGAAUAUAAUCAGCAAAGAAAAAAAAACAAAUCUUUCCUUUUCGUGUAAUUUUUAUUGCUCCACUGCAGUUCUUGACCUUCUCUUUUUCUUCUCAUGGACAAUGUCUCCAGCGCUCUCUGCAGCCGGCGUCUGAGGGUGCUGCGUCUGCAUUCUCGUGUAGACGUUUUCAUUCGCUGGGUUUCUCACCACUUACACUCGCGCUGCCAUCUCUCCAUGUGUGCCUGGCUCUUUCUUUCUUUGCCUGACAUUCUGUUUGCAGUGUUUUGGAAGGAGAAUCUGAGGCCAGAAUGAUGGCUCCUCCAGAGAGGGUGAGCCCGAGUGCCGGCAGCCUGGAGGGGCAGGGCGGUGGCUCUGGUGUCCUGUGGUUUGCGUGGGCUCUCUCUGCACUUACACUCACAAAAAGACAGUAUCUCAGGCAGGAAUUCUCGCAGGGUGCAGGCUUCUCUUUUGACAGUUUAAUGUCACGCAUGGGUUCCUUUGUAAACAUCAGAUCAAUAGCGGAGUUCCAAAUGAAAACAUUAGGAUAAG